AAUUAUAUAUAAUAUAAUAAUCAUAUAUUAGUUUAAGUAGAAUACAACUCUAUAAUUGGUUAUGUGUAAUUAUAAUUAAUUAUUUAUGUAUAUCAUUUUAAUUUGGAGCAAUAUUCAUCACCCUUGACGACUUAAAGUGCUUCAAGAGAAACCUAAUAGUUGCUUCUUGUCUCUUCUUCUCAGCUGCAAAGCUGCUCUAGUGCUCUUCGUCUUUUUUUUUUUUUUCGUUUCCUUCAGUCAUUGCCUUUCUACCUCGCAACCGCCACUACCUUUACUUUCCCCAAAACCAACUCCUCUCGCUUAUGCAUCAAGAAAAUAAAAAGGAGGCAGAGGGAUGGCUGACCCAUCAUCGUCGGCCCCAAAUUUCUUCAGCAAAAAAACAUCACAGAAGUUUUCUUUAUCUUUUUUCUUUUAUUUAAGCAUUGACUCAAGUUUUUUUGCCUUUGAAUCUAUCUAUUUUUCAUUCUUGGAUAAAUCUGCCUAUGAUAGUUGAUAAUGAAAUUAAACUUUCUAGAUGACUGCCUGCUAUUCUCCUUCUAUUCAGGACAUAGGAAUAGGAUAUGAAUGGAAAAAGAAGGCCUUGUUAUUAUCUGAUGUCUCUCCCUGUAUAAAAUUUUUGAUUUGAUAGUUUUUUUUUUUUUUGAAGAUGGAGGAAAGAGUGAGGGUUGAGAUAACGAGAAGGUGCUAAAAAGCAACAGUAAGAGAAAGAAUGAAGGAUGCUAUUUUCCUAAUGUGUUGCUAUUGUUGACAGUACCAUGUUUUAGGUUUUGCAUUGUGGGAUGUUUAUGUAUUUGAAAUAAUUCAAUCACCUGCGGGUAUCCGUGGUAGUAGCGGGGCGGGACAAAAGCAGGGGAUGGGAGAUGGGGCGAGG
rnacentral:lncRNA from 1 species